rnacentral:lncRNA from 1 species
CUCAGUCCAAUACAAAGAAAAGCCACAGGGUCAGAGUACCUCUGGCUCCAGACGACACCGGCGACGAUCUGCAACCUGUGAGGCGUGACAUGGAGAAGCCAGAACUACAGGCACCAACUUCCGACGAACCCACCCCAUGAGAAAUGAGCCGGUGCUGGGAAACAAGGUGAGACUCCCGUCGAUCUCACACACAGGGCGCUGGGAGUGCGUCGAUUUCACACGCAGAAACGCCAAAAAAAAAAAAACAAAGGCAGUCGCGUCACUCUUUUCAAGAGACACAGAGAAUCGCAAUGUUCCACACACCAGAGAUUACCCACAGAACCACCGCAGCUAAUCACCAGAACCGACUCUUAGCUCUGAUACCAUGUAAAUCGACAGGGAAAUUGGAGAUGAUUUUCUCUUAUUUCUUUCAUGAGGAAAUGUACAUUAAUAUGUACGGAUACAGUUUUGUUAAUUAGGGUAAGUAGCUAAUUCGGUCCUAUAAU